rnacentral:rRNA from 1 species
UACGAAGGGGGCUAGCGUUGCUCGGAAUCACUGGGCGUAAAGGGUGCGUAGGCGGGUCUUUAAGUCAGGGGUGAAAUCCUGGAGCUCAACUCCAGAACUGCCUUUGAUACUGAAGAUCUUGAGUUCGGGAGAGGUGAGUGGAACUGCGAGUGUAGAGGUGAAAUUCGUAGAUAUUCGCAAGAACACCAGUGGCGAAGGCGGCUCACUGGCCCGGUACCGACGCUGAGGUGCGAAAGCGUGGGGAGCAAACAGG